CUGUGUUCACUAUCUGGGUGACGUGAUCAACAGAAGCCUAACUCUCAGCAUCAUGCAAUAUAUGCCUAUAAUAAAACUGCAAACAUAGCCCCUAAUUUAUUAUUUGGGUGUGUGUCCCUGCCCAAGUCACAAGUCGAAUUGUAAUCCCUAGUGUUGGAAGUGGGGCCUGGUGGGAGGUGAUUGGAUGAUGGGGACAGAGUUCUCAUGAAUGGGUUAGCACCAUCCUCCCUUGGUGCUGUUUAGUGAGUGAGUUCUCAUGAGAUCUGGUUGUUUAAAAGCCUGUGUCAUGCAUCCC
rnacentral:lncRNA from 1 species